ensembl:lincRNA Gm16576 predicted gene 16576
GAGUACGACCUCCAGGCUGUGGGACCGGAGCGUUCCCUCGCGCAUCCGUGCCCACGCGCGCGCGGCGCCGGAGCUCUAAAGGCUUUAGGUGCGGGAGCACACAGGGUGUCAUGAAAUUGGCCCCAGGAUAGGGUCCUGACGCGGCCCCGCGCGUGUGGUUUGGACGCUUACCAGCGUCAGCCGUGUCUGCCCAUUUUAAAGACGAGGGAAACAGGAUUUUACUGUCACGGAGAUCCAUCUACCCCUCUGCCUCCCAGGUGCUGAGAUAAGAGUGCACCACCAUGUCCAGUCAGAAACCCCGAGUUUGACAGCAGCUUUUCUGUUUUAAAGAAGGCUCCAUCCACAGCUGGUUGCAAGAGAAGGUAUGUUUUGGUUUGCAUCAAAUCGACGUGAUGAAGUUGCCUGCACUAGACACACCAAGAGUCAGGGCUCAGUGGGGUGAGCUGAAGAUUAAACCACCCUUCCCAGCACAGGACUGUGGGAUGGAUUUCCUGGCUGCUGGCUCUCUUCUUGUCUAGGAGGACUGGGAAUUGGGAGCAGAGGAGAUGGCCCUACCUGAUGUCCCCAGCUAAGGCACUGAUGCCCACAUGGCCUGUGGGGUUUGUGGAAGCAGAAGUUACCCAGAUAGCCCAGGACAGCCCCGUUGCAGGCCAAGCCAAGCCGAGAACCCAGUGAGCCCGACAAUGGAUCCUUGGGCCAUCAGAAGCUCCCCAAGCACCACUUUGUCACUCGGUGAUCUCUUGGGACUGACCCUGGAGGGAGAUGCUGAUGUAUUGGAUUUGGCAGCCCUUGUAAUGACCCUCAGGAAGAAGAGAAUGUGUGAUGCCCACAUGGUAGAACAAGGAAAUAGCUGGUGCUAGGCCAGCCAGGUCACUGUAUCCCCAUGAGUAUGUCUCAGAAGGGGCAGAACUGACACUGUGGGCUCUGAGCUUGAAGUGGAGGCUCAGGCCCUAGCUGACUUGUAGCUCCAGGGAGCCUGGGGGCCAACCUACUAGGCUUCCAGUGCCUCAGUACCUAUCUAUGCAAGGAAGAGUGUGGAGGAAGUGCUUGAUAAAUGUUUGCGGAUGAAGAGCAGAAGUCUGUUUCUGGCUGACUCAAAACCACUAUAUCUUUUUUUCCCUUCUGGCCUGAUGAGCCUGUUAAGAGGUGGUCAGUGGUUGACUAGCCACUCUGCCGCAAGUCUCCCGCAGGCACGGAUUACCAUGCUAUGCCCAUGUAUGGCCACUAGAGGUCGCCCUGCACCGCUGGCAGCAGAAAGCUGUUGGGUUGGUAGACUCACAGAAGGGGGGCAGGAUGGUUGGGACAGGGCUGAGGAAUUUACCAACAGAGUUCUGGGCUCCUCAGGUGGGCCUGCUCCUAUUUGACAUCAUGAGCUUAUCUUCUGUCGCAGCAGGCCCAGCUGGGUCCAGCUCACCUGGACGAUGUGAAGGUGGAACUGGGUGGUGCUGGUGCCCCAGGGUGUGCGCUUAGUAAGUAUGGCUCAGGUCCUGCACUUCUGUGGCUCCAAGCCCUAGAGCCAGGGUUAGUGCCAGGAACAUUGGUCCUAGGGAGAGGGGAGGGGACCAAGCUAUGUUGGGUCUUGCAAGCCAGGGUGGAGCGCUGCUGUUAUCAAGACAUAUGGGGAACGUGGGGUCUGGGGGUUUACUCCCAGGUCAUCAGGCUCAGGGUACAAAUGAGGUCUGUGGUGAAGAGGUAGCUGCUCUCCAGUGCCUGCAGCAUGGCUUGCAGCCCAGCUCCAUUUUGGGCUGGCAGGGCAGGUUCUUACUGGUCUGGGGCCUGAGUUCUCCAUCCCCAUUCUGUUUGCCUUUCUGCCUUUAAGACUCCCUGCCCACCGCUCCAGGGUUUCCCUCCUGCCCAUAACAUGUGAGUCUCACCCCAUCCAUCAUGGCUCUGCCCAUCCCUUACUCAUAGCAUCUUCGACUGAAAAGCUGGGACCCUCCUCACUUCCCUGGGGCCUGCCAAACCCCUCCAUUCCAAUGAGAUUAUCCGUGGAGAGAGCCCCUGGGGCCAGUGCUUCUUUGGAGGUCUUCCUUCCUCCAUGUUCCCUGGCACCUCAGCCCAGGAGCUUGCUGUUCACACUAGCUGGGUUUACAGUCAAGGCUCUGGCUGCUUCGUGAUAGGAGUGGCCCACACCAACCAUUCCAGGACCGAGCAGCACGUGUGGCUUUUAGCAAGGUGAGAUGGGAGGAAGAAGGAAGAGUGUGUGGGAGACCACAGGGGGUCCAGAGAACCCAGAGAAGCAGCUGUGGUUCUGUUCUGAACAUUGGAUUCACUCAGAUAAGAGGCAGAGAGAUGGUCUCUGGUCAGGCACAGGCUCCUCCCCCAGCCUGCCUGCUGGGCUGACUCUGUUGCUAGGAAUCCUGGUCAACCUCACGGAUGCUCACCCAUCAGACAUGAGAUGCACAUAGCAGGCUGCGUAUCCCAUCCUGCGAAGGAAGAGCCCUGUGUGUUUAACGUUCCAGGUUCCUCUAUGGUUGAUCUGUGAGUUCAGGGACCCCCUCCCCCAUGCCGCAAACAGCUAACUGUUGAAUGACAGCAGUGUCCACAGCCUUAAGCUUGGUAAGGGGCCCAUACAAAACAGAUGGUUCUCCAGACCAAGUCCUCAAAGCCAGAAGAUUCUGUCCUCAGUGUGGUCAAGGAAGACUGGAGAAGUUUCACAAAGGGCUCCUGCUGGGACUGUGAGCCUGUACUUCUGUCCAGCACCCCUAGCUCUGCCAGCUGUCCUUCCGGAGUCCCCUUCAGAGUCCUGUACCCAGACCACCCACCCAUCUACACCUCCAUCUUUUCAUCCCUCAAUCCCCCAUCCUUCCAUCCACUCAUCCCUCUACCCACUCAUCCCUCUAUCUAUCCAUCCAUCCCUCCGUUCUUCUCACACACUUAUCUGUCCAUCUGUCCAUCCAUCUGUCCUUCCAUCCAUCCUUCCUUCUUCAUCCACCCGUCCCUCCACCUGUCUAGCCACCCAUUAUCAUUCUUUUACUCACUUGCUCAUUAGUUACAAUACAUAUUGUUGUUAGUUAGUUAGUUAGUUAGUUAGUUAGUUAGUUAGUUUGUUAGUUAGGUUUUUCAAGACACUGUGGCUGCCAGUCCUGAAACACUCUCUGUAGACCAGGCUAUCCUAGAACUUAAAGAUCUGCCUGCUUCUGCCUCCCGAGUGCAGGGAUCAAAGGCCUGACUGCGUGUUUAUUUGUUAGUGACAGGGAGGGACUAGUGCUUUAGUCCAGGCUGGCCUGGAAAUCACUAUGUAGCCUAGGCUGGCCUUAAAUUCCUGACAGUCCUGCUUAGCUUCCUAAGUGCUGGCAUAUGUGUGAGGAAGUGCACGUGGCUUGCACAUGUAUUAUGUAUGUGGCACCCUGCGCCAGGCACUGGGGAUGCACAGAGCACACAGUCCGAGCACUCUUCAGUUACAGAGUAACUAAGGUGCAGCAGAUGCACGUGCCAUGGUGGAAGAGCACAAGGCACAGAAGGACUGGGCAGGUGUCAGUAUUGCAGGGGACAGGUAGAGUGGGGCCUGUCACUCUUUCUGUAUCCCUGAGCCACUAGCUCACAGUGAGAGCCUCACCCCCAGCCUGCUCCACUCUGGUGUGUCACAAGAUGUCCGUGAGUUAUUUCCUCCACGAUGCUAAGGUUCUCAUGCAGUCUCCCUGGCCUUGUUACACAAGGCUGUUCUGAGGCUAGAAGGACACGUAGCUGGGGUUACUGCUUGGUCAGUAGCAAAACCCCUACAUGGGUAUGCAUGUUCUGGGGGCAUCUGUCUCAGCUCAAGAUGAAAGGUCAGGGUCUGAUCCCAGCUCCCUGUGGUCUCUGUCACUGGUCAGGGGUGUGCAUUGGCCACCCUGCCUUUUCCUGAUUUAGUUUUGUAGAACUUAGGUGGUAAUGGAGGAAUGGACCCUGAGGCUCCACACCGGCCCUGACCCAAAUCCAUGAGAGCCAGCAAUGUGGAUAUCCUUAAACAUUCAUGGUCACCUCUUCCUGGCUCCCAUAGUCUUCCUGAGGCAGGAGGAUGAUCCCUGUUCUGCAGAUGAGGUCACAGAGGUGCAGGGAGGGAGCUUGUUCCAGCUGGCAGCAGCCACCUGAGCAGUUUUGAGCUGGGCUCUGGGGUCCCAGGCUGACGACCUGAAUCCUGCUCUGCCCGAUAAGCACUGGGCCUGACUCCUCACCUGUAAGAGAGACGUAGGCGUAGGCAGCAGCACCCCAGAAUGGACAGAAGGGCCAACCCGACCCAGGGGACAGAAUGCUCAGCACGGAGUCCAGCGCAUCCGGGCCUCCAAGAGUCUAGAAGUCUUAUUAAUAAUAAUACAAACCUUCUGCCUCUGUGGCUCGCUCUCACCCCACCCCCACCAUCUUUCUAAGGAUUGAAGACAGCAGCUGGCAGUGGGAGGUGGUUUCUUUAAAUACAGGAUGAGGAGAACAAAGGAAAAAUAGAACAGGGGGGUGGUUUGUGGCCUACGCCAACUAUCCCCCUCCAAACGUGGGGGAGGGACCUAGGGUUCCAAGCCACCAACAGCCUCCACCAGCCUGUGUGUGUCCCCAAGGCUCUUGAGGAAGUGAGGCUUGCUGUGCAUUAGGCUUGUCUGCUGGGACAGGACAAUCCUGGUUUGGACUGGGAUGUCACCACGGGAGGAGACACUUCCUGCCUGACUAUAAGGGUGGCCCCUGAGAAGCAGGAAGUAGGUUGAGCUCCUGGGGUUCCAAGACAACAUGGAGUAUUUAUUAGAAGGUUCUCUGUAGGCCCCUUGAACUUCAAAGGCUAUACCCCUCUAGCUGCCUAUUCUCCUUGGUUGCCAUGGAUCCCGUGACCAAGUCCUUGCCAUCUGCCUCUUUAGGCCAGUCCCUUAGAGCCCUCCACUCUCCUGAGAACCUGUGUCUCUUGGUCUUUGUGGUGCCCACGGGGCACUAGAUGCCAUUCUCUGAGAUGGCUGGUACCAGUCACUGCUCCUCCAGGCAGGGUACUGGCACUGGGCUUCGAACUGUGUGUGACAAAGCUGUCCACUUCCCUUGAAGACUCCGAGGGGACCGAGGUGUUCCCUGCACUACAGACAAUGGUGGAGAACUACAACGUAGGUGGAUGUGCCUUCUCUGAGGGCAGAAGUAGCUAAGCAGUAGGUGAGCCAGGACCAUGCCUGGAAUGUGGAGCCCCUCAGGACAGAGGUAAACAGAAGCGCUGAGAAUGAGCAGGAGCCAGGAGGACCCUGAACCUGGCAGCCUAGGCCUGGUCCUGGCUGGAAUUGCAUCCUGGCUAGAUCUUGGGCUAACUAGUCACUCUCUGAGCCUUAGUUCCUCUACUUGUAGAUGAGGGAAGGCAAUUCUUGACUCAAAGGUCUACUGAGGAUUACAUGACAUGUCACAAGGGAGGAAGCCCAGGGGCUGUCAAAUGCAAGACUUUCAGAGGAAGAACCUUCCCCCAGAAAAUGCUAAGGCCCAGUUGGGUGUG